CACAGCAACAGGGGCCACAUGCGUCAGGGAUAAGAACCCCUUCCCCUCCCUUGUCCAAGUGUGCGCUCACCAUUGCUCCAUCUCUAAGGGUGCACCCUUCUAUAGAAGUACCUUGCCUUGCUGAGAAUUAAAAAGAAAAUUUUAUAUUCAGGUGCUAUUUCUUUUGCGGCACCAAAACUUUAUAUAUAACACUUUGGGGGCUCACCCGUGAUUACAUUCCCCUCCUGGGACGGUCUCUGGUUCUCUCUCGUGAGGAGGCAUGCGUCCCGCCCCUUGUGGUGGCCUCAGGGGUGAGAAAUCAGAACCCACCCAGUGUGAGGAAUAACCCAGCUCUCAGCAAUGUGGGGGGAAAGAAAAAAAACAAAACUGGCCAGCAGUGUAGCUUAAAGGAUCCUCACAAACUGUAGCGAUGACUCUGUGCACAGCCCAAGGAAGGAGAAGCUGCAGGAGCCGGUAAAGUAUUUCCCUGGUGUUCGGGACCAAGGGACUUAAAUACACAAGGAAAGGGGACUGGGAGAGGAGAGGAAAUGUAUACAAAACUUUGGAAGCUGGAAAUCAGAAGGUGCGUGGCCGUAUGCUUGACUGACCAGGAGAAGCUGGAACCAGGACAUCACUGCUCAGAAAGUCUGUUAGGAUGAGUGGCUGCACCUCUGAUGAGACAAUGGCUGCACAGAAGCAUUUAAGACUCUGCACAGGAUCCAUCAGCCAACUGCACCACAGGCCAUUAUCAGAAGCAAAAUGACAAUUAGUUUUUACAUUAUGGUUUGAGGCCAAGGGCCUAGAUUAUGAAACCCAGGCAAUGAAACCAUGUCCCAUAAUCCAUCUGAGAGAGCCAGAUGGCUUUUUCUUUUAGCUUAGUCAUUUACUGUUCUAUUUACCCAGAAGUAUUUAUAUAGGUGCAGCUGAAGUGUUUGCUGUGGCACAAACUCCUGCUUGGCUGGCUAAGAGAAAAUCAAGGGCUGUACAAUUGUUCAUGACAACUCUAGCUAAUGAGCUUAGAUUAGUUCGUUUGGCUCCAAGAGCAGGAGUAGUGUUGUUUACAACUCCUGCUAAAGUCAGGGACAAAUUUCAAAUUUCAAGCCACUUUUUUUUUUUUUUUUUUUUUUUUUUUUUAGAGACAGGGUCUCCCUGUUGUCUAGGCUGGAGUACAGUGGCGUGAUCAUGGCCCAUGGUAACCUCAAACUCCUAGGUUCUCUCUCUUCCUCCCACCUCAGCCUCCUGAGUAGCUGGGAGUAUAAGUGUUUGCCACUACACCCGGCUAAUUUUAAUUCUUUUUUUUGGUAGAGAUAGGAUCUCACUUUUUUUUUUUUUUUUUCUGAGACAAAGUCUGGCUCUCUUGCCCAGGCUGGAGUGCGGUGGCAUGAUUUCGGCUCACUGCAACCUCCGCCUCCUGAGUUCAAGCAAUUCUCGUGCCUCAGCCUCUUGAGUAGCUGGGAUUACAGGCAUGCACAACCACACCUGACUAAUUUUUGUAUUUUUUAGUAGAGAUGGAGUUUCAGCAAGUUGUCCAGGCUGGUCUUGAACUCCUGACCUCAGGUGAUCUGCCUGCCUCAGCCUCCCAAAGUGCUGGGAUUACAAGCAUGAGCUACUGCGCCCGACCAGGAUCUCACUAUGUUGUUCAGGCUGGUCUUGAAGUCCUCGGCUCAAGCGAUCCUCCUACCUCAGCCUCCCAAAGUGCUGGGAUUACAGGCGUGAGGCACCAUACCCAGCCUCAAACCACUUUUCUAAUUGUAUUAUUCCUAUUAUAGGAAUCACAGCUUGCAGAGUAUACAUGAAGAGGAAAUGAGGUAUUGCUCCUGAAAGUUCCCUCAAAUAAUUUGUGUUUGCUUCAUUUUGAAGGCUUCUGGAUAUCCUUCACAAGGAUAUAGGAUCCAAUAGAAGGAUGAUAGUUUUAAAUAUUUGGAAAUCUCUGACAAUUGCUCUGAAUACACAGAUCAGUGAUCGUGAGGUAGGGAGGUAUACACCUGAUGUCCAUUUAAGGAGUAGUAUCCUUAGUGCAACAUAGACUGAAUUCCCUCGAGAUUAACAAAUCCCUUGAGUGGAAUUAAACAGUUCCUGCAAGGCAGGCUGAAGUAUCUCUGAAGAGAACAAACUGUCAUGAUCAGGAUAGCCCAACAUUAGCGUUUAUUACCUAUUGACUAGACUUUGCUGAUACGAUUGUGAUGAUCUCAGUAGAAACAUUUCAUUGAUAUAAAGUUAAGAUUAAUUUUUUGCAAGAUUAGAGGUUGGGAUUAAUGACUUGAGGAAAACUCCAGCACCAGAAGGGUUCUGUAAAAGGGAAUUUUCAUUCUAAAGUAUUUAAAGGAACAGCUGUUAUAUUUUUGUCCACAGGGUCAGUUAGGGGAUUACAGAUUCAGCAAUCCAUUGGCUUCAGAGCCACAGCUGUGAUCUGGGAAAAACAUAUGAGAGUUUUGCUUUUUAUUAAGGAAUACAAAAAGAUCACAACGGUCAGAAAUAUCAGGAUGGGUCAGGCGCAGUGGCUCAGGCCUGUAAUCCCAGCACUUUGGGAGGCCGAGGUGGGCAGAUCAAAAGCUCAGGAGUUCGAGACCAGCCUGGCCAACAUAGUGAAACCCCGACUCUACUAAUAAUACAAAAAUUAGCUGGGCGUGGUGGCGCGUGAAAAAAAAAUAUUAGGAUGAAAAUAAGAGGCAUUAUAUUAGUGUUCUAGAAGGUGUUGAAGUGGUACAUUAGACAACAUUGUAUUGUUAAGGGAAAUCAGAAAAUUGAUGACGAAUCUGAAAAUGUAUCUUGUUCCUUCAUCUUCAGGAGAAGCUGUCCAUUUUGGAGCUUCAUUAUUUGUUCCAUAAUCUGGGGUCAGUGCUGUCCAUUUCUGAAGUUGACAACUUCUAGAGAAUUCCUAAGAAUCUUCAGUUUAAGGCUUCAGAUGAAAUGGAUGUUUAGUAGUCAGGAGGAAGAGAUGUGUGUUUUUUUUUUUGAGACGGAGCCUCGCUCUGUUGCCCAGGCUGGAGUACAGUGGCUCAAUCUCAGCUCACUGCAACCUCCGCCUCCUGAGCUCAAGCAAUUCUCCUGCCUCAGCCUCCCUAGUAGCUGGGACUACAGGCACGUGCCGCUGCACCUGGCUAAUUUUUGUAUUUUUAGCAGAGACGGGGUUUCACAGUGUUAGCCAGGAUAGUCUGGAUCUCCUGCCCUUGUGAUCUGCCUGCCUCGGCCUCCCAAAGCGCUGGGAUUACAGGUGUGAGCCACUGCACCUGGCCAAGAUGUGAAUCUUUUGAACUGGGAAAUGUGAAUCAGAGGAACAUUACUUUGGCCUUUUACUGCUAUGUUAUUUGUUAAUAGUACCUGGUAAGGUCCUUUCAUUGUGAUUCAAGGGCAGUCUUUCUCUAGGGUCUUUUCCAGGAAGACUAAACCUCCAUGUUGCAGAUUAUAUAGAGGUUGUUCAGAGGGUGGUUUGGAAAUGCACCUUUUGCUUGUUGAUGAAGUAAUUAAUCAUAUCUGCCUGUAGAAAGAUAAUGUGUUGGCUUCCUAGGACUACCAAAACAGAGUUCCACAAACUGGAUGGCUUAAAACAACAGAAUACAGUUCUGGAGGCCGGAAGCCUGAAAUCAGUGUAUUGAAGAGCCACUCUCCCUCUGAAGGCUCUAGGGAAGAAUCCUUCCUCUCCAUAACUUUUGGUGAUUGUUGGCCACACUUGGGUUUCCUUGGCUUGUAGAACCAUCACUCCAAUCUCUGCCUCCAUCACCACAUGGCCUUCUUUCUGCGUGUGUCUCUGUAUCCAAAUUUCUCUCUCUCUCUCUUUUUUUUUUUGAGACAGAGUCUUGCUCUGUCACCCAGGCUGGAGUGCAGUGGUGCGAUCUUGGCUCACUGCAACCUCUGCCUCUCUGGUUCAAGCGAAUCUCGCGCCUCAGCCUCCCUAGUAGCUGGGAUUACGGUCACACAUCACCAUGCCCGGCUAAUUUUUUGUAUUUUUAGUGGAGACGGGGUUUUGCCAUGUUGCCUGGGCUGGUCUCCAACUCUUGAGCUCAGGCAAUCUGCCCGCCUCAGCCUCCCAAAGUGCUAGGAUUACAGGCAUGAGCCACCGCGCCCAGCCCAAAUUUCUCUCUUCUUAAAAAGAUGUAUGUUGGCUGGGCUCAUGCCUGUAAUCCCAUCACUUUGGGAGGCCAAGGUUGGCAGAUAGCUUGAGCCCAAGAGUUUGAGACCAGCCUGGGCAACAUGGCAAAGCCUUGUCUCUACCAAAAAGUACGAAAAUUAGCUGGGCGUGUCAGUGUGCACCUGUAGUCCCAGCUACUUCGGAGGCUGAGGCAGGAGGGUUGCUUGAGCCCAGGAGGCCGAGGCUGCAGUGAGUUGAGAUCACACCACCGCACUCCAGCCUGGGCAACAGAGUAAGACCCUAUCUCAAAAAAAAAAAAAAAAAAAAAAAAAAAAAAGCACGAGGACACCUUGUAAUUGGAUUAGGGCCUACUGUGAUCCAUUGUAACUUAAUCUUGAUUGCAUCUACCAAGAUCCUAUUUCCAAAUAAGGUCAUAUUCACAGGUAUCAGGGGUUAGGACUCGAGCAUAAAUUUUAGGGGAGACAAUUAAGGUAGAAUAUAAGAUUGGGGGUGAAAUUCCCAAAUACAUGGGGCAAUCUGUUAUUAAUUCAUAAAGAGAUAAUCUGUGGGUUUUCAGAGGGGGUUCAUUUUAUAGACAUUAAAUCUAAUGGUCAUACUUCAGGCUAUGGGAAUUAAGAGUUCCUGAGUGCUUUGCUAAUUUUAUUUUAGAAUUCCAUUAGUUCUAUUUUUUCCCUGAGUAUUAUGGAUAAUGCAUUUUUGAGUAAAAGACAAAACUUUACAGAGUAUUAGUAGUACUAAUAAAAAGAAUAGUACUAAUAAAAAGAGAGAUAAGUGGGAAUUUCCCAAGUGGGAAAAACAAAAGCAAGAUUUUUUUUUUUUUCUUAGAGGCGUAGCUCUCUGGCAAGGAGAAGAUUCAACCAGCUCUGAGAAUAAAUAGACAAUAACCAGAACAUAUUCAUAACCCAGUGCAGGAGGCAUUUAUAUAAAGUCCAUCUGGAGUGUUCAAAGGGCCCUUGAGGUUUGGUUUCUGUCCAUGUCUGAUCUUUACAGUUUUGCCAGGAUUGUGUCACUGGAAGGUAGGAGAUGUUUUGGAAACAUCCUCAGCACUAACUCUAAAUUUAGCCCGCUUAUGUUAGUCUAAUAUUGUUGCCAAUUUAUUUCUGCUAUUACUUGUAAUAUCAUGAAGCAUCUUUACUAAAUUCCAUUUUUCAUUUUUUGGCACUACUGGCAGAUCAUUCUGCAAAUGCCAAAUAUUAUCUAUAUGCAAUGAGCAUCCUAAUUUUUUCCAUUUGCUUUUUUCCAAACCAGGAGCUUGUCUCUGACAGUCAAUAAUAGCCUUUUUGAAUUCUCCAAGGCCUCUCUUUUCUGUGUUAUUACAGGAACAAUUAUGUUUGGCUAAUGUUGCCUUUUUUGGCAUAGUGGUCAGCUAAAGCACUACCAUGAGAUUUGGGAUCCUUGCAUUCUAUAAGCAGGGAAGUAACUAUAAUAAAAGUGGAAGGUCAUAAAUUUAGGGCUCAGCCCUAAGUUUCUAUUUUUAAAAAGAAACCGUCCACAAAUAAAAUUACAUCAGAUGGCCGGGUGCGGUGGCUCACGCCUGUAAUCCCAGCACUUUGGGAGGCCGAGGCAGGCGGAUCACCUGAGGUCAGGAGUUCAAGACCAGCCUGGCCAACAUGGCAAAACCCCGUCUCUACUAUAGAUAAAAAAAUUAGCCAGGCAUGGUGGCAGGUGCCUGUAAUCCUAGCUACUGAGGAGGCUGAGGCAGGAAGAAUUGCUUGAACCUGGGAGGUGGAGGUUGCAGUGAGCCGAGACCAUGCCACUUCACUCCAGCCUGGGUGACAGAGUGAGACUCCAUCUCAAAAAAAAAAAAAAAAAAAUUAUGUCAGGGAUAUCUGGGGAAUUGGUAACAAACCUGUAUAAGAUUCAGGUAAAUCUGUAAGACGGACUUAAUUGUGAAGUUCUCCUUCAGGUAAAGGAAGGGGAGUGGCUAGGUUUAGAGUGUUGCAGUGAUAGUGAUGUUUGAAGGUGAAAGCAUAGCGUUUGAUAGGAUGUCAGGCAGCUAGCUGAGAAAUGCUGACUAUUUUCCAUUAAUAAAGGAGUGUGUACAUGAGAAACCAUUAAGUUUCAUGGAGAAACUAGAACUGAGCCACCUGAGGCUUCCAUAAAUAUGCUGGUGCUGCUAUAGUUCUUAGACAAGGUGACUACAUCUUAGCUACUGGAUCUAAUGGGAAGACUGAAAAAAGGGCCUCUGAUGGUUGUCAGGUAAUUGGGUUAGUAUUCCUAGUGUUUAGACUUUUAAUAACAAAAUAGGAAAAGGGUUUAUGAUAAAAAGGUGACCCCAGGUUUGGGGACUGUUGCAGAGACUUUUUUAGGUUUCGGAAGUCUUAUUAUAUGAAUCUUCCUAGAGUAAGAGGUUCAGGAUCUAAGGACUUAAUUCACGGAAAGGGGUAGCAAUGGCAGAAGAGGUUGGCACCCAUCACCCAUAAUAUAUAGUCACCCUAGGAACCCUCAAAGUUGCUUUGUAAUAGUUCGUUUGGGAAAACUGAAUAAUUUGUAAUUUUUAUGCUGCGAGAGAUUUGCCUUCUUUUGAUGGUGUGUGCCCUAAAUAAUGAACAUUUUGUUGUUGCUAUUGUUGUUGUAGCAGAAUUUUAAUUUCUCUUUGAAGGCUUUAUGUCUCUUCUGAAUGAAGGUCUUUAAUAAAUACACCAAAUCAGUCUUAAAGUUUUGCUCAUUUUUUGAACAUAGUAAAAGAUCAUCUACGUAUUAUAUCUACAUAUUAUAUUAGAAUAGACUCACAAGGAAAUCUCAAAUCCUUGCAGUCCCAAUUAAGAACCUGAGAGAAAUAAGAAAGGAUCUUCAGUAAAUCCCUGAGGCAAAACAGUCCAGGUCCUGGAACCAGUCCCCUUCGGAUAUCAAGGGAGGAUUGUACAA
rnacentral:lncRNA from 1 species